CGCUGGCGGCGUGCCUAACACAUGCAAGUCGAGCGGGGACUUACGGAAUGAAGCUUCGGCAGAAUGAAGUAAGUUCUAGCGGCGGACGGGUGAGUAACGCGUGAGCAACCUGCCUAUCACUGGGGAAUAACGCAUCGAAAGGUGUGCUAAUACCGCAUGAGACCACAGAGGGACAUCCCUUAGGGGGUCAAAGAUUUAUCGGUGUGAGAUGGACCCGCGUUGGAUUAGCUAGUUGGCAGGGUAACGGCCUACCAAGGCGACGAUCCAUAGCCGGCCUGAGAGGGUGAACGGCCACAGUUGGGACUGAGACACGGCCCAAACUCCUACGGGAGGCAGCAGGUGGGGAAUAUUGCACAAUGGGGGAAACCCUGAUGCAGCGACGCCGCGUGAGCGAAGAAGUAUUUCGGUAUGUAAAGCUCUAUCAGCAGGGAAGAAAAUGACGGUACCUGACUAAGAAGCCCCGGCUAACUACGUG
rnacentral:rRNA from 1 species